UACAGAGGGGGCGAGCGUUGUUCGGAAUUACUGGGCGUAAAGGGCGCGUAGGCGGCCUUCUAAGUCGAACGUGAAAUCCCCGGGCUCAACCUGGGAAUGGCGUUUGGGACUGGAAGUCUGGAGUGCGGCAGAGGAGACUGGAAUUCCUGGUGUAGCAGUGAAAUGCGUAGAUAUCAGGAGGAACACCGAUGGCGAAGGCAGGUCUCUGGGCUGACACUGACGCUCAUGCACGAAAGCGUGGGGAGCAAACAGG
rnacentral:rRNA from 1 species